rnacentral:rRNA from 1 species
AAAUUGAAGAGUUUGAUCAUGGCUCAGAUUGAACGCUGGCGGCAGGCCUAACACAUGCAAGUCGAGCGGUAGCACAGAGAGCUUGCUCUCGGGUGACGAGCGGCGGACGGGUGAGUAAUGUCUGGGAAACUGCCUGAUGGAGGGGGAUAACUACUGGAAACGGUAGCUAAUACCGCAUAACGUCGCAAGACCAAAGUGGGGGACCUUCGGGCCUCAUGCCAUCAGAUGUGCCCAGAUGGGAUUAGCUAGUAGGUGGGGUAACGGCUCACCUAGGCGACGAUCCCUAGCUGGUCUGAGAGGAUGACCAGCCACACUGGAACUGAGACACGGUCCAGACUCCUACGGGAGGCAGCAGUGGGGAAUAUUGCACAAUGGGCGCAAGCCUGAUGCAGCCAUGCCGCGUGUGUGAAGAAGGCCUUCGGGUUGUAAAGCACUUUCAGCGGGGAGGAAGGCGAUAAGGUUAAUAACCUUGUCGAUUGACGUUACCCGCAGAAGAAGCACCGGCUAACUCCGUGCCAGCAGCCGCGGUAAUACGGAGGGUGCAAGCGUUAAUCGGAAUUACUGGGCGUAAAGCGCACGCAGGCGGUCUGUCAAGUCGGAUGUGAAAUCCCCGGGCUCAACCUGGGAACUGCAUUCGAAACUGGCAGGCUAGAGUCUUGUAGAGGGGGGUAGAAUUCCAGGUGUAGCGGUGAAAUGCGUAGAGAUCUGGAGGAAUACCGGUGGCGAAGGCGGCCCCUGGACAAAGACUGACGCUCAGGUGCGAAAGCGUGGGGAGCAAACAGGAUUAGAUACCCUGGUAGUCCACGCCGUAAACGAUGUCGAUUUGGAGGUUGUGCCCUUGAGGCGUGGCUUCCGGAGCUAACGCGUUAAAUCGACCGCCUGGGGAGUACGGCCGCAAGGUUAAAACUCAAAUGAAUUGACGGGGGCCCGCACAAGCGGUGGAGCAUGUGGUUUAAUUCGAUGCAACGCGAAGAACCUUACCUGGUCUUGACAUCCACAGAACUUUCCAGAGAUGGAUUGGUGCCUUCGGGAACUGUGAGACAGGUGCUGCAUGGCUGUCGUCAGCUCGUGUUGUGAAAUGUUGGGUUAAGUCCCGCAACGAGCGCAACCCUUAUCCUUUGUUGCCAGCGGUCCGGCCGGGAACUCAAAGGAGACUGCCAGUGAUAAACUGGAGGAAGGUGGGGAUGACGUCAAGUCAUCAUGGCCCUUACGACCAGGGCUACACACGUGCUACAAUGGCAUAUACAAAGAGAAGCGACCUCGCGAGAGCAAGCGGACCUCAUAAAGUAUGUCGUAGUCCGGAUUGGAGUCUGCAACUCGACUCCAUGAAGUCGGAAUCGCUAGUAAUCGUAGAUCAGAAUGCUACGGUGAAUACGUUCCCGGGCCUUGUACACACCGCCCGUCACACCAUGGGAGUGGGUUGCAAAAGAAGUAGGUAGCUUAACCUUCGGGAGGGCGCUUACCACUUUGUGAUUCAUGACUGGGGUGAAGUCGUAACAAGGUAACCGUAGGGGAACCUGCGGUUGGAUCACCUCCUUA